AGUGAACGCUGGCGGUAGGCCUAACACAUGCAAGUCGAACGGCAGCACAGUAAGAGCUUGCUCUUACGGGUGGCGAGUGGCGGACGGGUGAGGAAUACAUCGGAAUCUACUUUUUCGUGGGGGAUAACGUAGGGAAACUUACGCUAAUACCGCAUACGACCUACGGGUGAAAGCAGGGGAUCUUCGGACCUUGCGCGAUUGAAUGAGCCGAUGUCGGAUUAGCUAGUUGGCGGGGUAAAGGCCCACCAAGGCGACGAUCCGUAGCUGGUCUGAGAGGAUGAUCGGCCACACUGGAACUGAGACACGGUCCAGACUCCUACGGGAGGCAGCAGUGGGGAAUAUUGGACAAAGGGCGAAAGCCUGAUCCAGCCAUACCGCGUGGGUGAAGAAGGCCUUCGGGUUGUAAAGCCCUUUUGUUGGGAAAGAAAAGAAGCAGGUUAAUACCCCGCUGUUCUGACGGUACCCAAAGAAUAAGCACCGGCUAACUUCGUG
rnacentral:rRNA from 1 species